GAUCACUGGCUCAGGACGAACGCUGGCGGCGUGCUUAACACAUGCAAGUCGAACGAGAAUCUAUGGAAAGAGGAUUCGUCCAAUUGAAAUAGAGGACAGUGGCGGACGGGUGAGUAACGCGUGAGGAACCUGCCUUUCAGAGGGGGACAACAGUUGGAAACGACUGCUAAUACCGCAUAACGCGUAGAGGUCGCAUGGCUUUUACGCCAAAGAUUUAUCGCUGAAAGAUGGCCUCGCGU
rnacentral:rRNA from 1 species